GAAGGCAGAGACUUAACCUACUGAGCCACCCAGAUAUAUUGGAAUUCCGGGCCCUUCUGCUGGAUUCCACCAUCUUGAAACUUGAGUCAGGUAUAGACACUCCACCUGCCAACUGCUGUGACAGAGCAGGUAACUGAGGUACAGAGUUUCUACAUGACAUGGUUCAUCUGGAAGUAGGAGUGGAUCCAUUUCAUCUUACAUGCUGCUUGGGGCUGUGUCUGUGGCUGUGAAACUCAAGACUGCCCUGAAACUCAAGACUGGCCCUUAGUCACCUUUGUGUCCCCUCCAUCUGAUAUAAAAUAAACACGUAAAGAAAGGUUUUCCUUCCGUUGGAUUUGGUACCAGCUCCCACCCAGCACCCCGUGAAGACAGAUGAAAGCUGAGAGGACUCUGUGAUGAGGUGGAAAAAUCAUGCCAAGAGGACGUGGAGGAGAAAGGGGACCAGCUCAUUUCGCACUGGAGGGGCAGCUGUGAUUGGCAGAAGGGCCAAGGAAAAUCAGGUUUGUGGAAAAUCGGCUUGAGAGUACUGUUUCUUAACCUUGAUUGCACCCUGGGAUCACCUGAGCAGACUUAAAAAAAUACUCGUGGCCUGGGUCCCGUUGCCAGAUCUGAAUGUAAUUGGUCCAGGGUGUGGGCUGAAGUGUGGGACCUUUUCCAAGCUCCCCGGCUGAUUAUAUCGUGCAGCCAGAUGGAGGGGUGCUGCGUGGGGGAACCAUCCGGCUGCUGGGAGCAGGCCUCUUCCCAAAGAGGAUCCCUGAAUAGCAGUUCUCAGAGUGUGUUCCCCAGACCAACCCCAGACCCAGAGUGUGCUCCCCAGACCAACAUCAGUGUCCCCUGGGAACUCGCUAGAAAAUGCAGAUUCGGGGUGCCUGGGUGG